AAGCUCCCUUGGUGACACCCAGCCACCUCUGCCCUUGCCUAAAUCUGUAUUUUCAUCACGAAAGAGAAUUAAGAGCUCUUGGGAAUAAAGAUACUCCGUGGAAGGAAGUUAAUUACAAGUGGAAUGAAAAGGUUCCUCCUUCUGUAUCUGUCGCCUUCUCGCUCGUCCAUCGCACCACUCAUCGCCACAAGAGGCAGCCCUCUUCUAUUUCUGCUCUAUCCUUUGGAGCCGAGGUGGCCACACAGAGCCAGCAAUUCCAGUCCAGACCACUUCUCCUACCACCAGCCAAGAGCAGAGGAGGGUUCCAGACAUCACGAUGCUGGGAGAACAGGGACAGCUGCUGACCACCCUCAUGCCCCAAGGAGGAGGAAGAAGAGAAGGGGGAGGAGAGGGAAGGCUCCCAGCCCUCAGAGCAGCCAGGCCUGCCGGGAGCAGCCAUGUGCUGCUCCAUCCUCCCAAGUCCGCGCACACUCCGUGCACCCGGACGCUGCACCCGAAAGAUCUCAAUGCAAACCUAGCGAGGAGGGGAAACAAAACCUGCUGCUAAUUGAGGGAUUUUGGAGUAGAUUUAAUUAGGGCCAGAGCACUGGCGCAGGCUGCUGCUGCCACCUGCAGCACUCUCCACAGCCGCUGGCGUGGGCUCAGGGGACCCCGGGCUCCCACCCACUCCCGCCUGGGGUCCAGACAGGGAAUGAGGAACACCCGGAGUCCUGCAGGCUCACCCCCGUCACGCACCCACCCCCCCAAACCCGUUAUUUCCCAGCACAAUAAGCACCUCCAGCAGCGACGGAACCAAGGGCUUGGCCAAAAACUAAAGAGGAAGAAAAGCCAUAUUUUCUCCCUGGAGUCGGAUCGUCCCGAUCUCCCCUCGGAGGAAUCAAGAGGGGCCGAGUUAUCUAAUUAAUGCUGGCAGAAGCGGGAGGCCGAGGGCUGGGGGGCGGCGGCGGCCCACAAAGGCGGCGUGGGGAGCGGUCUCCCCGCCGCCGCCGCCGGCAUCCCCCGGCAAUGGGGCCCCACGCUGGGAGUGAGGGAGAACAUGGAGGCAGAACGACAGAGCCCAGCACACGUCAGGCAUCACAAAACCCUGACGGCACCAGGAGCGGCACAAUCCCAGCCCCGGGACGCUGCAGAUA